UGCAAUGCAGACAAUUAAGGUUGCAUUUGAGCUUCUUCCACUUCUUGACUGUUUGUAGACUAACAACCACUGAAGUAAAGAGACAAUUAAGGUUGCAUUUGAGCUUCUUCUGCUUUUUGUAGACUAACAACUGCUCAAGUAAAGAGACAUCAUCAUGAAAAAGAAAUUAUAGACCUUGGAUUUUAUAUGUUAAAAAAACUGAUAUAUUUUGGGUGACAGAAAGAAGAGAGACUCCUACUGCAUUCAAAUUGUUUACAGGCAUCAUCGGGCAAAACCAAUUAUUAUAAACCCUGGAUUUUAUAUGUCCAAAAAAACUGAUAUCUUUUCGGUGAUAGAAAGAAGAGACUCCUACUGUAUUCCAAUCAUGUACAGGUGAUUCAUUUGAAAUCAUUGAUGUUUCUGUAUUUUGCAUCAUAGUUUUCUUGACAUGUCUUCCAUGA